rnacentral:lncRNA from 1 species
GUGACUGUUAUUCUGUACGGGAAGACGCGUCUGGGCAUUUUCCUGGGGGCUCCGCUUUUUCUAGCGGAGUGCGGGGGGAGGAAGGAGGGAGCGAGAAGGGUGGGGGCCGGGGUGCGCCGUCUUUGCGGGAGGGGAAGACAGAAGUGACACGGCAGGGUGUCCGCGGGAAGCGUGCAGCAAUAAUGCCAACAAAAUAUUGGUAUCCUGAAAAUAUUUCUCAUCCUGAGUGCAAGUGUCAGACUGAAUCCAGUUUGUCUAGGCAUACAGAAACUGUGGGCACACUUUCACUACUAUGAACGCUGAGGAGCCAAUGAAGGGGGACGUCUUUUAACUCCAUAAUAGCAGGUUACAUAGUAAAUGAACACUGAUGGUCAAAUAGCCAAUUAUGGUAUAAAUAUCCGUUGUUUACAGAGAGGUGUUAAAUGAGCCUUUAGAGCACAAAGGAUCAGACUGUCUAAGCUACAAUUUGUACUUCAUCCCAUUAUGUCUUCCCUUAAAAAGGCCAAUGCCAUGGUAGGUAAUGUGCUCACAGAACAUACUUCUCUCUGUUGAUUUUAGUUUGCUUUAUUUCAAUGCACACUGUUGUUUACUUUUUAAAAUUUAAAUAAAUGUCAGCAUUGUAUAAUUUCUAUGUUAACAAAGCAGUGAGCAAAAUCCCUUGUAUGUUUAUAAAAUAUUAUUGUUUAAUUCACAUAGUUUAGAAAUUCCAAAUGUUGAGAAUAGGAAGGAGGCCAAAUACCAUCUGUUUAUAACUAUGAUGCAUCGUAAUAUGUGUACUUUUAAAAGGAGUUUGGUCAAUCAUGCCACUAUUUUAUCUGCUUAGAAUAUGCUGAAGAUUUAAAAUGUAAUUUACAGGAUUACUCUUAGUACAUUGCAUCCAACUGUGACUAGAAGAGAAAUCAGUCUUUUCCUUUCUAUUUUUCUUAAAUUAAUCAUGUAGCAGCCCCAAUUAAUGGUUCUGUUAAUUGUGUCACUUUUUGCCUAGCUUCAGGAUUCUUCUAACUUUGGCUCAGUCUGACUCCUCAAUUCUGAUAAAAAUUCCAAGGACAUAUAAAACAAAACAUUCCUAACUGUGUCUUUUUGCCAGGAGAUAGUCACUUAGAAUGGGAGGCAUGGUAUAGUAGCUAAUAAUUAGCCAGCAUCAGCACUGAGAAAUUACCUGUGAAAUUUCCAUUGGUAAUGAGUUGAAAAAUAAC